rnacentral:rRNA from 1 species
CACCGCCCGUCACACCAUGGGAGCUGGUAAUGCCCGAAGUCGGUUUUGUUAACUACGGAGACAACUGCCUAAGGCAGGGCCGGUGACUGGGGUGAAGUCGUAACAAGGUAUCCCUACGAGAACGUGGGGAUGGAUUACCUCCUUUC